GGAUAAGGUUCCCUAGCCGUCCAACAUUAUGGGAAGAUCGGCCAUUAUUAGGAGCAGCAUGACCAUUCUCUUCCAUGUAACUAGCUUCUUGGGUUUCAAAAAGAGAAGAAAGAGCAUGGAUAGUAUUGGGGUUAGGGUUAUCAGGCAAAGCAGUAAUCUUCUCCAUCAACGCUUGUGCCUUAAUGAUCAACCCUUCACUUUCCGCCUCUUCUUCAUCUUCCUCUCCACCUCCCGC
rnacentral:misc_RNA from 1 species